rnacentral:rRNA from 1 species
UACGGAGGGUGCGAGCGUUGUCCGGAAUCACUGGGCGUAAAGGGCGCGUAGGCGGCCUGAUAAGUAGGGGGUGAAAUCUCGAGGCUCAACUUCGAGCUGUCGGUGGAAACUGUCUGGCUAGAGUCCGGAAGAGGAGAAUGGAAUUCCUGGUGUAGCGGUGAAAUGCGCAGAUAUCAGGAAGAACACCCGUGGCGAAGGCGGUUCUCUGGGACGGUACUGACGCUGAGACGCGAAAGCGUGGGGAGCGAACAGG